rnacentral:lncRNA from 1 species
AGGAAGACAUCCAACAUCAACAUGGCCUCCACAUGAACACACAUGGAUGGAGAUGGCCAGAUCCACUUCUCAAACUGGGAUAGCAGUGGAGGGGAUCGCAGAUGCACAUGUCCAUCACUUGGCAGCUACUCCUCAAUAUGAAGAUCCUUUCCUGGAUGGGGGGCGCUGGAAGACUCUGCCAGAGUGUGAGGCUUUACCUGACAACACAGGUAGGCUUGUUUGGCCUGCUUUGUUUGUCUGGCCCAGUGCUAACAAACAUACUGCAGCUGUAUCUUACAAUUCCCCCCAUUUCCCCCCUAGUUUUACAAAUCCUGAUUGUAUCAUUGAGAGAGAAUGAAAAAGGAAAAGAAUUAGACUCCU